AACCGGUUAGGGCGUAAUAACAAUGAUUGAUAUUAUUCGCAAAAUCAUAACUCGGUGAAAAAUCAUAUUGAUGUUUUUGUAAUCUUUGGUGAUAUACCGACAUGGAGUUGUCGGAUCCGCGAAUUAAAAUUUUAGUUUAGCAUAAUGGAAACAAAAUACUUACAAUGCAUACUUUACGAUGUCACCAAAUUCUGUACAAAUAUGAAAGAUAUUUCAAGCAAUAUGAUUCCAAAGCCCAUACACCCACGCUUAAGCCUAAUUAUCAUAAUAUACAAACCAAAGCCUCAUGGCAUAGUGAACCCGGAACGUCCCCCUUAUCGACUUGAAUUCGGCACCGUACAAGAAGAAAAGCAAAGUUACUGAUUUAUUAAAUUACAUUUGCCAAACUAAUAUCCUUAAUACCCCCUAAAAACAUAAAAUGCUGUCUUCUUCUAACACAGUGAACACUGGUGAACACCAAUACCUCAACAGCAUGGAUACAACAAGCAAUGCAAAUAAAUUAUCCCUUAACUCCACGGAUAUAGACUACAUCCCUGUUUUCCUAAUCAUUUUUAUAUUCAACACAGACUAAACAGUAUUAAUCCUAACAACAACUCAUGCAGAUUUAACAAAACGAGUAAAAUGUAACUGAGCCGAGAACAAACAUCAGAGUAUUAAUGGAGCGAUUGUUACCGUACAAGAAAUACUUCACUACUCGUGGUUUGGUCUGAGACAAAACUUCAAGCUCAUCGAUUCGAUGCCCAUAACGCUUUAACGGCUGAGUUCAUUUUUCACUGUGUUGCUGAGUUGUUUGUUAAGGUGAUGUUGUCGGCAAGCUGAGUUUGAACAGAUCCAUUGUUGUUGACCAUUUGCUGGGUUAGGUGCUAAUUCGGAAUGAAGGCUGGGAUCUUGGACAGGUAGACGGAUCGUCAUCGCGCGUGUGACUGACG
rnacentral:lncRNA from 1 species